rnacentral:ncRNA from 2 species
GUAAUCCUUCGGGGCAGGGUGCAAGUCCCUACCGACGGUGAUGGACCUAGGUCCUUAGUCCGUGACCCGGCGAUGCCGGUGGAUUUGGUGAAAUUCCAAAGCCGACAGUGAUAGUCUGGAUGAGAGAAGGAAAAA